GCCGGCGCCGGGUGCACGCGCCCCCUGAGUUGGGGAGGGGGUGGGAGCCGCGCAUUAGAGCCUGGGUUUCUGGUCUGGGGUGCCGUGGAGCUCGCGCCUGCGGCCUCCUGGAUCUCCCCAGCCCUGGAGCCCUGGGGAGGGGUCACCCGGGCUGGGGCGUGGGCCUCCAAGGAGCCCUGGAGGGACUGUGCUACUGGGGCGCGGGGCCUCGUGGGGUGAGUGGGAGACCCGCGGGGAUCCGGAUCCGGAGCCGCAGCCCCUGCGCCGCCCGCGCCUGGCCCCCUCUGUGAGGGUUUAUUACAGGUCUGGUUUCGGGAGCCAAGGGCGUUCCCGCCGCCACCGCACACCGCAGCUUCCAGGCAGCUCCGCGCUCCAGAGGGCACCAGCACUGGCCGACUGGCCUGGGGCGCGGCGCUGGCAAGCCUGGCCUUCUGAGGGGACCCACGCUGCUCUAGUGCAGGCAGCCCCCAAAACAGUAUAACGGGACGAAAUCCUGGAAGGAUGCCAGUUACCAAAAAAGAACAUAGGAACGCUCAUUAUCUGUUCAAUUAAAUUUGAGAUCAAUUUGUAAUCAAGUGUCCUCAAUUUUCCACAGAAAAUUCCAGGCCCAGAGGACCAAGCUGGUGGUUGGUACUUAGAAAAGCAAUGAUAGGCAUGCGGAUGAGGAGGGGCCGCUUAGCCCUGCCUGGUGUGUGAGGCCAGCGUUGCCCUGAAGGCAAAGUCAGCCAUCACCAGACAAUAGAACCAGAGACCAGUGUCUUUCGUGCAUCUAGACACAGAGCAUUUCAGAAAACUAGCAAAAGGAAUCUGUCCGCCUGUUGCCUAAAAAAGCCAAACUUUGGAAAAUACUUGAAGAGAUUCAUUCUGAGCCAAAUGGGAGGACCAGGACCCGUGACACAGCCUCAGGAGGUCCUGAGAACUUGCACCCAAGGUGGCUGGGUUGCUCGGUUUUGUACAUUUCGGGAGACAUAGGCAUCGGUCAGCGCAUGUGAGGUGUGCAUUGGUUUGGCCCAGAAACAGGACAGCUCCAAGCGGAAAGGCGUCCAGGUCACAGGGAGAUUCAAAGGUUUUUCUGAUUGGCAAUUGGUUGAAAGAAUUAUGGUCUAAAGGCCUGGAAUCCAUAGAGAAGAGUGUCUGGGUUAAGAUAAGGGGCUGUGGAGACCAGGGUUCUUAAUGUGUAGAUGACGCUUCAUAGGUGUUCACCUUAGAGGCAACACAUGGCAAAUGUUUCCUAUUCAGCUGGCCAGUGUGGUGAAACCCAGUCGUCUCUACUAGCAAUACAAAAACAAAACAAAACGACACUGGACUCUCAGCCAGUCUCUUCAGAAUCAGAAAAAGAGCUGGAAAAAGAAGGGGAGUGUCUACAAGAUGUGAAUUUCUCCACAGGAGACAGCUUUGCGGGGCUAUUUCUAAAUUUGUCAAAGAGAUCUAUUUUGGGUAAAAUACACUGCUCCUUUCAGGGCCUGCUGUCACAUGAUGCUGUACCAGAGUCAGAUUGGAACUUGGCGUCUUAUUACUACAGAGUCUGCUCUGUCAGUCUUAUGACCUGUUUUAAUGCCAGUGCUGGUCAGCUGCACCUGAACUCCAAAGGGAGGAAUCUGACGUGAAGAUGGUAGCCAGCCUGACACAAAGGAAGGAACCCGAAUGGCCGAUAGGAAGGGAAGUAAACAUGACAAUCUCAGUGGGAUGCCCUUGUCACCACUGGACACCAAGUGUUGAUGGGUGAGUGGAGUGGCCGGAACCCUCAGACACAGUUGAUGGGAGCUGUGCCCUUUGGAAAUCAUUUCACAGUUUGUGCUCCAUCCUGGCUGAACCCAUAGCUGGAGUCAUUCCGAAAGCAGUGACUAGAAUAUCCACCAGGGAGUGCCUCAAACCCCCUGAGAUGGGCUGGGUGGCAUUCCAGAGAAAGAGGCCCCGUCGCCAGGGUGAUCCGUCCAGAGCACUUAGUAGGAUCUUGCAUAAGGAGAGCCUGCAGUGUAUCCUCAGGACAGAUAGGACAGAUGGCUGACCCCGCCAUUCCCUCCUGCCUUUACCUGAACAUACCUUCUUAUAUACCCAUGAGUCCUGGACUCGUGCAGCCCUCCCCGCAGGGGACCUGCAGCUGCUGCAGACAUGCCUCUGCAGCCACGCCCAGGCCACACCUCUAUACAGCACUCCCCACAGGGGACCCACAGCUGCUGCAUCCACGCCUCUGCAGCCCUCUGCUGCAACACUGCAGCCACGCCCAGGCCAUGCCUCUAUUAACUGUCUGCUGCAGCCACGCCCAGGCCACACCUCUAUGCAGCACUCCCCACAGGGGACCCACAACUGCUGCAUCCACGCCUCUGCAGCCCUCUGCUGCAACAUUGCAGCCACGCCUAGGCCAUGCCUCUAUUUAGCUGUCUGCUGCAGCCACGCCCAGGCCACACCUCUAUGCAGCACUCCCCACAGGGGACCCACAGCUGCUGCAUCCAUGCCUCUGCAGCCCUCUGCUGCAACAUUGCAGCCACGCCUAGGCCGCCACCUCCGAAGACGGGUGGUGCUGCUUUUGUGAACAGACACUUCUUUCAGAUGUCCGUGAUCGAUGCUUAGGAGGUGAGCGCCCAAGCGGAAGCCGACCCUCUAUGAAGGGGCCGCAGAACACCCGACCCAGAAAUCAGUGGACCAGCCAAGGCCACCGGGGAACUGAGUGGGCACACCCCUGCCCCGGGCUCCUCGGGACAGGCCAGCCCUGACCCCACUGGCUCUAUCGCAAGGACUCACGGUGGCGCUGUGCUGGACUCGGUGGCCUUAGCUGGAGCCCACAGACCCAGGUCCUACGGGUAGUUCUGUGCUCACGACCUAGAGGCCAGAGCCCACACUGUCUCCAGCAGGCCCAACUCACUUCUCCACGUCAAAGGCUUGGCCUUGCUCCAGGCCCGGGGACUAUCCCCCACCCAGUGUUUCUUCCUGGGUGACAGUGGUGGAAGAGCAGGCAAGCCACAUGCUGGAUGCCACAGCGGGGAGACUCCAGGCUGGCACCCCUCUGCCUCUGUGAGCUCUGGCCUUUCUCCUCCCUGCCUGGGCUGCUUCCUUCAGGUUGGGGAGGCUUUUUUUGACCCCUGGAUUGAGGUUCUCAUCAGGAAUGACCCGGAAGAGGUUUUAUGGGUCUUUCAAGAAAGUCUGUGUCUGAGUCUCAGAAAGUGGCUCUGUUCCCUGCACAGCACAGUCUCUUCUGUGACCAGCAGCUCACAGAAGAGAGGGGCUCUCGGGCCCACAGGCCAUUGCCCUGAGGCUGCCACGAGAGGGCAGGAGAGCCCUUCCCCAGAGCUCCAUGCCAGGGGACAGGAGAAUCGCAGCUCUGACAAGCUCUGCAUCCAUGUGUCCAGCAGGGAAAGGAGAGGCUCCAACACGUGAGAGAAGAGCAGACUGGGCGGCCCCUGCUGAAGCCUCCCAUCGCCUGUGACCUCUGAGGGCAGGCCCUGGGUCCCUGCAGCCCCUGCCAAAGACUCCCGUUGCCUGCGACCCCCGAGGGCAGGCCCUGGGCCCCUGUGGCCCCUGCCGAAGCCUCUCCCGGCCCCUGUGACCCCCGAGGGCAGGCCCUGGGCCUCUGCAGCCCCUGCUGGAGCUCCUCCCCAACUACCAACCUGCUCCCAGCUCACUCAGCUCCCUGCAAAACCUCACCUGAGGGGAAGGAGGCUGUUUGGGCUCAGAUGCAGCAGGUGCAGCUUGUGGUCCUGGGGCCACACCUGUGAGAGCCCAUCAUUCCCCCCCUGCUGGGCCCUGAGUAUCUGUCCCUACAGAAUUCAGAAGGGUCAGCUCUGGGCACUCCAGGCCCCAGCCCCAUGAGUGAGCCCUGGGCCCAAGGUGGAUGUGGGCCACAGGCCCCCAGUCAAAACACCCACAGCGGGUGGACAGGUGCACUGAAUGUGGGUCCCCUCCCGAGAGACAUGCAGAUGGGGAGGGGCCUGUCAGAUCUCAGCAUGGCUGGAACUUACACCCAUCACUACCUCCCAGCCUCCCUGCCCGACAGGGGUGGCCCUGGGAGCCCAGUCAGCAGUGAACAGCAGAGAAGGGCAGUUGGGGAUGUCACCAUUGCCCCCAAGACUCCCCUGCCAUGGAGAUGAGGGAGCUGUCCCUUGGCAGAGGGAGGCUGGCCAGUGGGAGUGGACAGAGAAUGGACCCAGCAGCCGAGGACCCCUGAGCUCAGGACCCAAGGAGGGCUCUUCUAGGAGCAGGGACGAGAGCAAACGCCAGGGACCCCGUGCAGGCCUGCUUGUCCGUUGCAAAGCGAGUGAGCAGGUUCACAUGUCAGGAGCUUCCCGACUCAUGGGUUCCCUCCCUGCACAACACAGUUCCCCAGUAACCAAAGCCUGGCCUUUGUGCCUGGAAGUGCACAGGGAGGUCACAGCGCUGUGAGUCAGUGGCAGGGCAAGGAGUCUGCUUUUCCAGGGCCAGAGGCCACACUCAGAGGACUUCGUAACAGGAGCUUGGGGCCCUCGAGUCAACACUUUCCCACGGACAGCCUGGCCAGCUCCGUGGACGGAGGAGGCGUCCGAGGGUCCCAGGCCACCAAGUGACCAAGCAGCGAAGGUGCCCGGGAUUUCCUAGGGGUGCGCUGAUCCCAAGGCAGCCACCUGUGGUCACUGUACAGGGCACCUGCGCCUCAGGAGACCGGCAGCAUGGCAGGGCCUGCCUCCCAGGAGAGACUGGCCAGUGCCUGCAGGGGCCUGGGGGGUCACAGUGAGGGCUCUGCUGGCCCACCUGCCCUGAAGCAGAACCCAAACCUUCUGCCUUGGGGAGCACCUGGGCGCCCGCCUCCUGUCCAGCCCUGGACACAUCCCAGCGGCUACAUGUGGGGGAGAUACAGCCUGGGCUCAGGGCCAGGUACCACCCUGCGGGGAUGCCAGACCUGGGGGAGACCAUGCCUGCUCAGAAUUCCCCCCACACCUGGGCUUCUCCAUCCUGACCCCUUGGGAGGGGAGGGCCUGUCCUUCCUCAGCAUUGCGUGGCGGGUGGGAGGCUGGAGGCAAGGCCUGUGGUGUGAAGCUUCCCCAGCAUGGGUCUCUGGGAGAGAAAGCCCCGUGUCUCAGGGAAUGAAAACAGAGAUUGCGCCACUCACACGCAUUCGGUGGCUCAGAAAAGCAUUCACAAAUGUUCUGAGCAUUCGGCUUUGGGGGCAGCAUUCCCUCCAAGAGGAGCUUCAUAAACAUCCGCUCCCCGUGGGGUCGCCUCUCCGUGGCCUGGGGCCGCUGUUGGAGGCAGGGUCUCCAGCUGCCACCAGGCAGGAAAUGUGGGGGGUGAGCGGGGGUCACGGCUGGGGACCACUGGGGACUGUGAGAAUCUGUCCCACAGGACUUUCUGGGAUUGAAAAGCUGGCAGAGGUAAAAAGUGCGUCAUGCCCUGUGCUGGACCCGGCUGCUUAUUUAUGUUUGGAGGGGCAGCCUCCAAGGGCUCCUCUUCUCCCUCUCCAGUGAUGGCGUCAGUGGAAAAGCAGACGGGGCGGGGCGGGGUGCAGGGCUCUCCUCCCUGGAAUGAAGCAUAUCCGGAGGUUUUCCUGAUUCCCGAGCAGGCCCUGACCGCCGGGUUCACGGUGGCAAAUCCAUGACUGCUGAGCCUGGCCCUGAGCCUCAGCAUGAACGUCGCAAAGCCCUGGCCCGGGCGGUGUCUGUUUCAUCCCUCCAGAGGGAAGGCAUCAAGUGCAAGUGUGAGGUUUAGAGACUAAAAGGAGAAGGGCCAGAAGUCUUGAAAACGACCUUCCCCACCUUGUUCACUCAUUCCAGGAAUUUGCGAGGGCCUGUGUGUCCUGCGCUUGGUGGGGCCUGGGACGCAGAUGUGAAGGGCGCUGCUCUCAGGAGCAGACGGAGGCGUAGACGAAUCACUACCAUCCACCUCAGGUGCACAGAGGGCCCUGUGGGGAGCCGUGGGUGCAGGGAGGGGACCCCCUGCGUCAUGCUGAUGGAGUCGGCAGAGUCUCCAGCUUCUGCAGGAGCGGAGCCUGGGGUUCCUCUGUCCUGCGGGGGCGGAGCCUGGGGGUUCCUCUGUCCUGCGGGGGCGGAGCCUGGGGGGUUCCUCUGUCCUGUGGGGGCGGAGCCUGGAGUUCCUGUGUCCUGCGGGGGCGGAGCCUGGGGGGGUUCCUCUGUCCUGCGGGGGCGGAGCCUGGGGGGUUCCUCUGUCCUGCGGGGGCGGAGCCUGGGGUUCCUCUGUCCUGCGGGGGCGGAGCCUGGGGUUCCUCUGUCCUGCGGGGGCGGAGCCUGGGGUUCCUCUGUCCUGCGGGGGCGGAGCCUGGGGUUCCUCUGUCCUGCGGGAGCCGAGCCUGGGGUUCCUCUGUCCUGCGGGAGCCGAGCCUGGGGUUCCUCUCUGUAAAUUGCUUAACCAGAUCUUUUGCCCGAUAGUUUUCCUGUUGGGACACCUCGGUAGUUUGAAAGCGGUUUCUUGCACCCCUUGCUGGUCUCUUAGCCUUGUAGAUGGUGUUCUAUUUUAAAUUCUGGAUAUAUUUAAUGUGAAAAAUAGUUACGAAGUGAGCGCCAUGAGUCCCUGUGUACCUGUCACCCAGCCCAAGCACCAGGGGCACUGGGGGACUGGCCACACCCCCCCUUUCUUAGGACUCCUGAGUCUCUGGCGUUACUUAAAGGGUGUUUCUUGCAGCAAGACAGUUGAAACAAACUUUGAUGUCUCUUCCGUCUUUCUGCGGCUGUGGCUUCUAACAUUCUAAUAGUGUUCUCAUCAGCCGGGCUGAGAACAAAAGAGCGCAGACUGGGGCUGAAGCAACAGAACCGUCCUUCCCGCAGUUCUGGAGUGAGGAGUCUUGGCUCACGGUGUCACACGCUCGGGUUCCUGGCUAACCAGACCGCCUUCCCAAGAACCCUGCACUUGGGAACUGUGUCGCUGGGGGUCACAGGAAUGCUGGGGACACGUCACCAGUCACUCCAUCGCACGUUGUGAGCUCUUUAAUCCACUGGAAUUUUGUUUGUGGUUGUGUGAGAUACGGCUCUCACAUUUUCUGUUGCAAAUACGUAGCCAGUUGUCAGAUGAUUUACUGAAAAAAGAAUCUUUUCUCCACUGACCGACAUGAAAUGCCACCAUCACCGUAAACGUCCCUGUAAAUACUGGGCACUGUCUCUGUUCCUCAGUCCUGACUGGCGGACUCGCUUCUGUUUCUCUGCAGGAACUCAGGCUCACGGUGACAGCUUUACGGCAGGCUCCCUCCCCAGGCCUCUCGAAAGCAUUCCUCUGCCGGUCUGCUCGGCUCUUCUCCCACGUCAAGUUUACAGGCGGUGUCAAGGCCCACGGCAGUCCCGUGGGAGUUUUAAGGGAUUCAUGUAGUUCACGGGACAGUUUGGAAGAUUGUCAUUCAUGUGACUUAGAGUCCAACUUGAAAAUGGAUUCAGGCCGGGCGCGGUGGCUCACGCCUGUAAUCCCAGCACUUUGGGAGGCCGAGGAGGGUGGAUCACGAGGUCAAGAGAUCGAGACCAUCCUGGUCAACAUGGUGAAACCCCGUCUCUACUAAAAAUACAAAAAACUAGCUGGGCAUGGUGGCACGUGCCUGUAAUCCCAGCUACUCAGGAGGCUGAGGCAGAAUUGCCUGAACCCAGGAGGCGGAGGUUGCGGUGAGCGGAGAUUGCGCCAUUGCACUCCAGCCUGAGUAACGAGCAGAACUCUGUCUCAAAAAAAAAAAAAGAAAGAAAAUGGAUUCUAGCUCUCAACUAAUUUAGAACUUUGGCAAAGUGUUUUAGAUUUCUUUGACGGCAGAGGCCCUCGUUUCUUGGUUUGUGGUUAAAUAUUUUAUGAAAUCCAUGACGUUUUUGUGACAAUGAGUGGGACACUUUCCCAUGAAAUGCAAUUCUGUGUUGCUGUUUUAAUAAACACUGUUGACUGAUGUGUAUGAUGUUA